AGGAAUGUGAAAAUAAAGAAAAUUGUUGAUUUAUGUUUCUCAUCCUAGAUUUUGACAAUAGCACUCACAAAUAUAGCACUAUUGUACUCAACCAAAAAACACUAGUUAAUGUUAUUUUUACUAGUGCUUUAAGCACAACUCUAUGGCAGGUAACACUAGUCAACCAUUUUCUAGAUUCUCACUUUCUACACAGUGAUAUUUAUGUGUCCUGACAUAGAAAUAAAUAAAUAGGAGUCAAGCAUCCUCUAGAUUCUCACUUUUUACACAGUGAUAUUUAUGUGUCCUGGCAUAGAAAUAAAUAAAUAGGAGUCAAGCAUUCUCUAGAUUCUCACUUUUUAAACGAUGAUAUUUACGUGUCCUGACAUAGAAAUAAAUAAAUAGGAGUCAAGCAUUCUCUAGAAUCUCACUUUUUACACAGUGAUAUUUAUGUGUCCUGACAUAGAAA